rnacentral:rRNA from 1 species
UCGAUAUUUCCGUCGCCGACCCUCGUACCCGAGGGUGUCGGACGUCGCGACCCGUUCGCCAUUUUGUCGAUACUUAGGGACGCGUUUUCGGUUCGCCAGCGCGAUCGUCUCGGCGGUCGCGCGACGACGGCGCGUUUCCGUUGUUUUCGACGCGGACGGUAGCUUUGCGCGCGGGUAUUCGACGCGGUCCUUCGCCCGGCGUUUUCGUGCGUCGGGCGGCGCUCGCGUCGACGCCGGUCAGCGACGAAUCUUCGGGCCUCUUUCCGACCCGUCUUGAAACACGGACCAAGGAGUCUAGCGUGCGCGCGAGUCGCGGGGUAUCCGAGUCGUCGUAGUCGGCUCGUCCGGCGAACGCGACUCGUCACGAUACGAAACCCGUGUACGUACGUUGUGCGAAGGCGUAAUGAAAGUGAAAGGCGACGCUUCGCGCGUCGCCGGGGGAAGAUGGCGUUCCGAGUUCACGUUUCGCGGUCGCACGUGUACCGCGACCGGACGCCCGCAUUCCCAGGGCGUCCCGCACGUACGUCCGCGGUCGGGGUUCGCCUCGGUCCGCGGACGAACUGGGGCGCACCUACAGCGUGCACGCUGGUACCCGAAAGAUGGUGAACUAUGCCCGGCCAGGAUGAAGUCAGGGGAAACCCUGAUGGAG